UACGUCUCCAACGUAUCUAUAAUUUCCGAUGUUCCAUGCUUGUUUUAUGACAAUACCAACAUGUUUUGUUCACACUUUAUAUCAUUUUCAUGCAUUUUCCGGAACUAACCUAUUAACAAGAUGCCACAGUGCCAGUUCCUGUUUUCUGCUGUUUUUGGUUCCAGAAAGGCUGUUCGGGCAAUAUUCUCGGAAUUGGACGAAAUCAACGCCAAACCUCCUAUUUUUCCCGGAAGCGUCCAGAACACCGAAGAAGAGUCGGAGAGGGGCCAGGGGGCCACCACACCACAUGGCGGCGCGGGCCAGGCCUAGGCCGCGCCGGCCUAGGGUGUGGCGCCUCCAGGUGCCCCCCUGCGCCGCCUCUUCGCCUAUAAAAGCCCUUUCGACCUAAAAACGCAGUACCAAUUGACGAAACUCCAGAAAGACUCCAGGGGCGCCGCCGCCAUCGCGAAACUCCAAUUCGGGGGACAGAACUCUGUUUCGGCACCCUGCCGGGACGGGGAAUUGCCCCCGGAGCCAUCUCCACCGCCGUCUUCACCGCCAUCUUCACCGCCAUCGCUGCCUCCAUGAUGAGGAGGGAGUAAUCCACCCCCGAGGCUGAGGGCUUCGCUGUAGCUAUGUGGUUCAUCUCUCUCCCAUGUACCUCAAUACAAUAAUCUCAUGAGCUGCUUUACAUGAUUGAGAUUCAUAUGAGUUUUGUAUCACAAUUCAUCUAUGUGCUACUCUAGUGAUGUUAUUAAAGUAGUUCUAUUCCUCCUGCACGUGUGUAAAGACGACAGUGUGUGCACCGUGUUAGUACUUGGUUUAUGCUAUGAUCAUGAUCUCUUGUAGAUUGCGAAGUUAACUAUUGCUAUGAUAAUAUUGAUGUGAUCUAUUCCUCCUA